CAUCCUUGAUCGGAAGGUCCGGGUAAUCUUUUGAAACUUCAUCGUGCUGGGGAUAGUCCCUUGCAAUUUUUGGACUUAAACGAGGAAUUCCUAGUAAGCGUGAGUCAUCAACUCGCGUUGAUUACGUCCCUGCCCUUUGUACACACCGCCCGUCGCUACUACCGAUUGAAUGGCUUAGUGAAUCCUUCGGAUUGGCUAUUUUUUUCUGGCAACAGAAUUAAACUGCUAAAAAGUUGGGCAAACUUGGUCAUUUAGAGGAAGUAAAAGUCGUAACAAGGUUUCCGUAGGUGAACCUGCGGAAGGAUCAUUAAAAAAUAUCGCUCGAUUGAGAGUGAUUUAAUAAUCAUCCUACCCUUUGUGAAUUUGUUGUUUGUAAUAAUUUUUUUUGAUUUUAAAAAAAAAUUAUUUAUGGUUUUGUCUAUCCCUAAAAUUGGUUUGUUGUGAAAUGAAUCAAAUUUAGGGAAUAGGCUUUCAUAAAUAAGUUUUUUUUAAAGUCUUAAAGACCUUUUUUAAAAUUAAACUUUUGUAUUCAUUUGUCUAAAUUUUUUUUAAAAUAAUUUAAAAACAACUUUUGACAAUGGAUCUCUUGGUUCUCGCAACGAUGAAGAACGCAGCAAAAUGCGAUAAGUAAUGUGAAUUGCAGAAUACGUGAAUCAUCAAAUCUUCGAACGCAUAUUGCAC
rnacentral:rRNA from 1 species